GUACUUACCUGGCAGGAGAGACACCAUGAUCACGGAGGUGGUUUUCCAGAACAAGCCUUAUCCAUUGCACUUCAGAUGUGCUGACCCUUGCGAUUUCCCCAAGUGUGGGAAAUUUGACUGCAUAAUUUGUGGUAGUAUGGGGACUGUGUUCCUGCCUUUCAUC